ACAUGCCUACAACAUAGUGCUAAUUCAUUGAAUCCCAUUAGAGCUCUCCAUUUAAGCAUGCUCGAUCUAGAGUAGUACUGGGAUGGGUGAUCGCUCGAGAAAUCCUUGUGUUUUACAUGCC
rnacentral:rRNA from 1 species